CCGCCCUGUGCCUCGCUCAGUUCUUCUGAUGGUGAAAAACUUUGAGCUGGAUUCUGCCACAAUUAUAUAAGUAGUUGUUGAAAGAAAUGGGCCAGAAAAACAAUCCUAAUUUUGAGUGCGCUUCUGUUAGAUCAGUGACGGAAAGUGUAAUUUAAAGGACUGACAUCU
rnacentral:snoRNA from 1 species